rnacentral:rRNA from 1 species
AGCGUACACGGUGGAUGCCCUGGCAGUCAGAGGCGAUGAAGGACGUGCUAAUCUGCGAAAAGCGCCGGCGAGGUGAUAUGAACCUUUGACCCGGCGAUGUCCGAAUGGGGAAACCCAGUGCAAUUCGUUGCACUAUCGUUAACUGAAUACAUAGGUUAACGAGGCGAACCGGGGGAACUGAAACAUCUAAGUACCCCGAGGAAAAGAAAUCAACCGAGAUUCCCCCAGUAGCGGCGAGCGAACGGGGAGCAGCCCGGAGUCUGAAUCAGCUUGUGUGUUAGUGGAACGGUCUGGAAAGUCCGACGGUACAGGGUGAUAGUCCCGUACACGAAAAUGCACAGGUUGUGAACUCGAAGAGUAGGGCGGGACACGUGGUAUCCUGUCUGAAUAUGGGGGGACCAUCCUCCAAGGCUAAAUACUCCUGACUGACCGAUAGUGAACCAGUACCGUGAGGGAAAGGCGAAAAGAACCCCGGCGAGGGGAGUGAAAAAGAACCUGAAACCGUGUACGUACAAGCAGUGGGAGCCUACUUGUUAGGUGACUGCGUACCUUUUGUAUAAUGGGUCAGCGACUUAUAUUCUGUAGCAAGGUUAACCGUAUAGGGGAGCCGAAGGGAAACCGAGUCUUAACUGGGCGUUAAGUUGCAGGGUAUAGACCCGAAACCCGGUGAUCUAGCCAUGGGCAGGUUGAAGGUUGGGUAACACUAACUGGAGGACCGAACCGACUAAUGUUGAAAAAUUAGCGGAUGACCUGUGGCUGGGGGUGAAAGGCCAAUCAAACCGGGAGAUAGCUGGUUCUCCCCGAAAGCUAUUUAGGUAGCGCCUCGUGAAUUCAUCUUCGGGGGUAGAGCACUGUUUCGGCUAGGGGGCCAUCCCGGCUUACCAACCCGAUGCAAACUACGAAUACCGAAGAAUGUUAUCACGGGAGACACACGGCGGGUGCUAACGUCCGUCGUGAAGAGGGAAACAACCCAGACCGCCAGCUAAGGUCCCAAAGUCAUGGUUAAGUGGGAAACGAUGUGGGAAGGCACAGACAGCCAGGAUGUUGGCUUAGAAGCAGCCAUCAUUUAAAGAAAGCGUAAUAGCUCACUGGUCGAGUCGGCCUGCGCGGAAGAUGUAACGGGGCUAAACCAUGCACCGAAGCUGCGGCAGCGACGCUUAUGCGUUGUUGGGUAGGGGAGCGUUCUGUAAGCCGUUGAAGGUGGCCUGUGAGGGUUGCUGGAGGUAUCAGAAGUGCGAAUGCUGACAUAAGUAACGAUAAAGCGGGUGAAAAGCCCGCUCGCCGGAAGACCAAGGGUUCCUGUCCAACGUUAAUCGGGGCAGGGUGAGUCGACCCCUAAGGCGAGGCCGAAAGGCGUAGUCGAUGGGAAACAGGUUAAUAUUCCUGUACUUGGUGUUACUGCGAAGGGGGGACGGAGAAGGCUAUGUUAGCCGGGCGACGGUUGUCCCGGUUUAAGCAUGUAGGCGGAGGUUCCAGGUAAAUCCGGUACCUUUUAACGCUGAGGUGUGAUGACGAGGCACUACGGUGCUGAAGUAACAAAUGCCCUGCUUCCAGGAAAAGCCUCUAAGCAUCAGGUAACACGAAAUCGUACCCCAAACCGACACAGGUGGUCAGGUAGAGAAUACCAAGGCGCUUGAGAGAACUCGGGUGAAGGAACUAGGCAAAAUGGUGCCGUAACUUCGGGAGAAGGCACGCUGAUAUGUAGGUGAAGCCCCUGCGGGUGGAGCUGAAAUCAGUCGAAGAUACCAGCUGGCUGCAACUGUUUAUUAAAAACACAGCACUGUGCAAACACGAAAGUGGACGUAUACGGUGUGACGCCUGCCCGGUGCCGGAAGGUUAAUUGAUGGGGUUAGCGGCAACGCGAAGCUCUUGAUCGAAGCCCCGGUAAACGGCGGCCGUAACUAUAACGGUCCUAAGGUAGCGAAAUUCCUUGUCGGGUAAGUUCCGACCUGCACGAAUGGCGUAAUGAUGGCCAGGCUGUCUCCACCCGAGACUCAGUGAAAUUGAACUCGCUGUGAAGAUGCAGUGUACCCGCGGCAAGACGGAAAGACCCCGUGAACCUUUACUAUAGCUUGACACUGAACACUGGUCCUUGAUGUGUAGGAUAGGUGGGAGGCUUUGAAGCGUGGACGCCAGUCUGCGUGGAGCCGCCCUUGAAAUACCACCCUUUAAUGGCUGGUGUUCUAACGUAGACCCGUGAUCCGGGUUGCGGACAGUGUCUGGUGGGUAGUUUGACUGGGGCGGUCUCCUCCCAAAGAGUAACGGAGGAGCACGAAGGUUAGCUAAUCCUGGUCGGACAUCAGGAGGUUAGUGCAAUGGCAUAAGCUAGCUUGACUGCGAGAGUGACGGCUCGAGCAGGUGCGAAAGCAGGUCAUAGUGAUCCGGUGGUUCUGAAUGGAAGGGCCAUCGCUCAACGGAUAAAAGGUACUCCGGGGAUAACAGGCUGAUACCGCCCAAGAGUUCAUAUCGACGGCGGUGUUUGGCACCUCGAUGUCGGCUCAUCACAUCCUGGGGCUGAAGUAGGUCCCAAGGGUAUGGCUGUUCGCCAUUUAAAGUGGUACGCGAGCUGGGUUUAGAACGUCGUGAGACAGUUCGGUCCCUAUCUGCCGUGGGCGCUGGAGAAUUGAGGGGGGCUGCUCCUAGUACGAGAGGACCGGAGUGGACGCAUCACUGGUGUUCGGGUUGUCAUGCCAAUGGCACUGCCCGGUAGCUAAAUGCGGAAGAGAUAAGUGCUGAAAGCAUCUAAGCACGAAACUUGCCCCGAGAUGAGUUCU